GUGGCCAAGCAUUAGCUUUAUAUUUGAGGCAGCAGCCAGCAGGGGGUUAUGAUCUGUCCCCCUCCUGCUGAUUCAGGCUGCCCUAACUCUGGAUAUGCCAAACCCAAAGACUUGUGGGUAAUCCCCCCACUCGCCCACACCUACCUCCGCUCCCCAGUUUUCCUCCAACCCACCCGCCACCCCCCUCCUCCCCUGCAGUGCUUCCUGAAUCAGAUUGCUGCUGACCCCCGCCGAGUGAUGUCUCACCCUGGAGGACGGGGGAGCGGGCGCAGCAGGGGGAGCAGGCAGGCAGUGAUGCUAUGCCCCCUGGGCCGGGCACCAAAACCUGCAUUAUAAAUCCACGUCCCCACCAUGCGUGUCCAAAUCAAGAGCAUCCCAGUGAAGUGACCCUCCAGGCGAUCCCACAAAGAUGAUCUGAAGCGUGCAUCAGGUGCUGACUGCCCCUCUUUCUUGUUCUUUCUUUCCUUUUUUUUUUUUUUUGGAACAUGGGACAUCAUCGGCUGGCUCUUCUGCAUAAAAUCAGCCGCUCUUCCAGUAGCUGGCAACCAAAACUUGCACAACUUCUGCAGGCGUUAAGUGCUCGAAUCAACAUGGAGCUUCACAUUUUUACCACUUCAUUUCUGUGCCUAAUUUUUUGUCAGAGAUGAAUAGAUUUACAAAUCAACAAGCAGCCUCAGCGGAGCCUCGCCGCGCACAGUUUUAGCCUUGGCUUCAACCCAUGCCAAAUCGAUUCCAGAGGUCAUUUUCCCUUUCCUUUUUCUCUCUUUCCCCUCCUGCACCACUGGUCCUGCUCUGCAGACCCCACCCCACCACCACCACUGUACUGAAGUCUGUCUAAGACUUUGUGUGUUUAUUUUCUCCUUUGGAAGGAAAAAAAAUCAGAUCUGUCUGCACUUAGCAAAGCCUCGCCUUCUUCACAAGCUCGACAGUGGAAGGAUGGGGGAGUAGGAGGAGGAGGAGGAGGGGGGAGUCUCAGAAGUAUUGAUGUGGAGUGAGGAAUGCAUGAAGUUUGCUGCGAGAUGAAAUAAACGGUGAGGAUAUAUGAGAUGAGCGUGAGGGGUAAAAAG
ensembl:lncRNA